UACGGAGGGCGCUAGCGUUGUUCGGAAUUACUGGGCGUAAAGCGCACGUAGGCGGCUACUCAAGUCAGAGGUGAAAGCCCAGGGCUCAACCUUGGAACUGCCUUUGAAACUAGGUAGCUAGAAUUCUGGAGAGGUCAGUGGAAUUCCGAGUGUAGAGGUGAAAUUCGUAGAUAUUCGGAAGAACACCAGUGGCGAAGGCGACUGACUGGACAGAUAUUGACGCUGAGGUGCGAAAGCGUGGGGAGCAAACAGG
rnacentral:rRNA from 1 species